ensembl:misc_RNA Y_RNA Y RNA
GGCUGGUCCAAUGGUGUUGGGUUAUCAGAAUUUGUUGACAUUAGUGUCACUAAACUUGAUAUACAACCCCCUACUGCUAAAGUUCACUGGCUUUAA